AUUGCAGCAAAUAUAACUGUGCUAAGUGUAUUACAAGCCUUUUUACAGAACUCGAAGCUGCAAAAUCAAAUAAGAGUUCUAGACUUUGCUCCUUAGCCGGCAAUAAUUUAAAUUGUAGUCACGUGG
rnacentral:snoRNA from 1 species